AACGAACGCUGGCGGCAUGCCUAACACAUGCAAGUCGAACGGGAUCCGGACUUCGGUCCGGUGAGAGUGGCGGACGGGUGAGUAACACGUGGGAACCUGCCUUUUGGUUCGGGAUAACCGCGGGAAACUGCGGCUAAUACCGGAUGCUCCCGAGAGGGAAAAGAUUUAUCGCCAGAAGAGGGGCCCGCGUCCGAUUAGGUAGUUGGUGGGGUAAUGGCCUACCAAGCCGACGAUCGGUAGCUGGUCUGAGAGGAUGAUCAGCCACACUGGGACUGAGAUACGGCCCAGACUCCUACGGGAGGCAGCAGUGGGGAAUAUUGGACAAUGGGGGGCGAACCCCUGAUCCAGCAAUGCCGCGUGAGUGAUGAAGGCCUUAGGGUUGUAAAGCUCUUUUGCCAGGGAAGAUGAUGACUGUACCUGGAGAAUAAGCCCCGGCUAACUUCGUGCCAGCAGCCGCGGGUAAU
rnacentral:rRNA from 1 species